UACAGAGGGGGCAAGCGUUAUUCGGAAUUAUUGGGCGUAAAGAGCUCGUAGGCGGUUUGUCGCGUCGACCGUGAAAACUUGGGGCUCAACCCCAAGCCUGCGGUCGAUACGGGCAGGCUCGAGUUCGGUAGGGGAGACUGGAAUUCCUGGUGUAGCGGUGAAAUGCGCAGAUAUCAGGAGGAACACCGAUGGCGAAGGCAGGUCUCUGGGCCGAUACUGACGCUGAGGAGCGAAAGCGUGGGGAGCGAACAGG
rnacentral:rRNA from 1 species